UACGGAGGGUGCGAGCGUUGUUCGGAAUCACUGGGCGUAAAGCGCGUGUAGGCGGCCUGCUAAGUCUGAUGUGAAAGCCCGAGGCUCACCCUCGGAAGUGCAUUGGAAACUGGCAGACUGGAGUCCCGGAGAGGAGGGUGGAAUUCCUGGUGUAGCGGUGAAAUGCGUAGAUAUCGUAAGGAAGACCAGUGGCGAAGGCGGGUCUCUGGACAGUUCCUGACGCUGAGGCACGAAGGCCAGGGGAGCAAACGGG
rnacentral:rRNA from 1 species